GAUGAACGCUGGCGGCGUGCCUAAUACAUGCAAGUCGAGCGAACGGACGAGAAGCUUGCUUCUCUGAUGUUAGCGGCGGACGGGUGAGUAACACGUGGAUAACCUACCUAUAAGACUGGGAUAACUUCGGGAAGCCGGAGCUAAUACCGGAUAAUAUUUUGAACCGCAUGGUUCAAAAGUGAAAGACGGUCUUGCUGUCACUUAUAGAUGGAUCCGCGCUGCAUUAGCUAGUUGGUAAGGUAACGGCUUACCAAGGCAACGAUGCAUAGCCGACCUGAGAGGGUGAUCGGCCACACUGGAACUGAGACACGGUCCAGACUCCUACGGGAGGCAGCAGUAGGGAAUCUUCCGCAAUGGGCGAAAGCCUGACGGAGCAACGCCGCGUGAAUGAUGAAGGUCUUCGGAUCGUAAAACUCUGUUAUUAGGGAAGAACAUAUGUGUAAGUAACUGUGCACAUCUUGACGGUACCUAAUCAGAAAGCCACGGCUAACUACGUG
rnacentral:rRNA from 1 species